GUGUCGAUUAAGCCAUGCGAGUUAAAUGUUCUUCGUGAACAUAGCAGACUGCUCAGUAACACGUGGAUAACCUGCCCUUAGGACUGGCAUAACCCCGGGAAACUGGGGAUAAUUCCGGAUAGAUCAUAAAUGCUGGAAUGCUUUAUGAUUGAAAGGUUUCGACCGCCUUAGGAUGGAUCUGCGGCCUAUCAGGUUGUAGUGGGUGUAAUGUACCUACUAGCCUACGACGGGUACGGGUUGUGGAAGCAAGAGCCCGGAGAUGGAUUCUGAGACAUGAAUCCAGGCCCUACGGGGCGCAGCAGGCGCGAAAACUUUACAAUGCGGGAAACCGUGAUAAGGGAACACUGAGUGCUAGCAUUUAUGUUAGCUGUCCACAUGUGUAAAUAGCAUGUGAUAGCAAGGGCUGGGCAAGACCGGUGCCAGCCGCCGCGGUAACACCGGCAGCCCGAGUGGUGAUCACUAUUAUUGGGUCUAAAGGGUCCGUAGCCGGUUUAAUCAGUCUUCUGGGAAAUCUAAUCGCUUAACUAUUAGGCUUCCAGGGGAUACUGUUAGACUUGGGACCGGGAGAGGUAAGAGGUACUGCAGGGGUAGGAGUGAAAUCUUGUAAUCCCUGUGAGACCACCAGUGGCGAAGGCGUCUUACCAGAACGGGUCCGACGGUGAGGGACGAAAGCUGGGGGCACGAACCGGAUUAGAUACCCGGGUAGUCCCAGCUGUAAACGAUGCUCGUUAGGUGUCAGGAACGGUGCGACUGUUUCUGGUGCC
rnacentral:rRNA from 1 species